AACCUAGCACACCUGCGGUGUGUACCUGCGGAGGGAUCAUUACACAAUACAAUAUGAAGGCUGUCCGCAGCUGGAGUAUUUUAUUACCCUUGUCUUUUGCGCACUUGUUGUUUCCUGGGCGGGUUCGCUCGCCACCAGGACCACCAAAUAAACCUUUUUUAUGCAGUUGCAAUCAGCGUCAGUACAAACAAUGUAAAUCAUUUACAACUUUCAACAACGGAUCUCAGAUCGGAAGAGCAC
rnacentral:misc_RNA from 1 species